AGCGAACGCUGGCGGCGUGCUUAACACAUGCAAGUCGAACGUGAAAUGUAGCAAUACAGAGUAAAGUGGCGUACGGGUGAGUAACACGUGGGUAAUCUACCAAAGAGCCUGGAAUAACCGAGCGAAAGGUUGGCUAAUACUGGAUAGUUCAAAUGAAAUAUAAUGUUUCGAUUGGGAAAGGGAGGGGGCAAUCGCCUUCACUUUUUGAUGAGCCCGCGUCUGAUUAGGUAGUUGGUAGGGUAAUGGCCUACCAAGGCGACGAUCAGUAGCUGGUCUGAGAGGAUGAUCAGCCACACUGGAACUGAAACACGGUCCAGACUCCUACGGGAGGCAGCAGUGGGGAAUCUUGCGCAAUGGACGAAAGCCUGACGCAGCAACGCCGCGUGAGUGAAGAAGGCCUUCGGGUUGUAAAGCUCUGUCGGAAGGGACAAAAACGUUUAAGGUUAAUAGCCUUAGAUCUUGAUGGUACCUUCAAAGGAAGCACCGGCUAACUUCGUGCCAGCCGCCGCCGUAA
rnacentral:rRNA from 1 species